rnacentral:miRNA from 1 species
UAUGUAUGUGUAUGUGUGUGUGUGUGUGUGUAUGUAUGUGUGUGUAUAUAUAUAUAUAUACACACAUACAUACAUACACACACACACACACACAUA